rnacentral:rRNA from 1 species
UACGAAGGGGGCUAGCGUUGCUCGGAAUGACUGGGCAUAAAGGGCGCGUAGGCGGAUGGCACAGUCAGAUGUGAAAUUCCCGGGCUUAACCUGGGGGCUGCAUUUGAUACGUGUUGUCUUGAGUUCGGAAGAGGGUCGUGGAAUUCCCAGUGUAGAGGUGAAAUUCGUAGAUAUUGGGAAGAACACCGGUGGCGAAGGCGGCGACCUGGUCCGACACUGACGCUGAGGCGCGAAAGCGUGGGGAGCAAACAGG